rnacentral:rRNA from 1 species
UAGGGAAUAUUGGUUAAUGUGCGAAAGCGCGAACCAGCAACGCCGCGUGUGCGAUGAAGGCCUUCGGGUCGUAAAGCACUUUUUGCAGGGAAGAGGAAGGACGGUACCUGCAGAAUAAGUCUCGGCUAACUACGUGCCAGCAGCCGCGGUAAAACGUAGGAGACGAGCGUUAUCCGGAUUUACUGGGCGUAAAGCGCGUGCAGGCGGCAUGGCAAGUUGGAUGUGAAAGCUCCCGGCUUAACUGGGAGAGGUCGUUCAAAACUGCCAAGCUUGAGAGUGGUAGAGGGAAGCGGAAUUCCGGGUGUAGUGGUGAAAUGCGUAGAUAUCCGGAGGAACACCAGUGGCGAAAGCGGCUUCCUGACCCAUUUCUGACGCUCAGACGCGAAAGCUAGGGUAGCAAACG